UACGUAGGGCGCAAGCGUUGUCCGGAAUUAUUGGGCGUAAAGAGCUCGUAGGCGGUUUGUCGCGUCUGCUGUGAAAUCCCCAGGCUCAACUUGGGGCGUGCAGUGGGUACGGGCAGACUAGAGUGCGGUAGGGGAGACUGGAAUUCCUGGUGUAGCGGUGGAAUGCGCAGAUAUCAGGAGGAACACCGGUGGCGAAGGCGGGUCUCUGGGCCGAUGACUGACGCUGGAGGAGCGAAAGCGUGGGAGCGAACAGG
rnacentral:rRNA from 1 species